GAACCCACCCCUUCUCUUCAAUUCCUCUUUUUGCCACCAACAACCAAUUGGUAAGAAACGACCCCAUAUUUCUCAGUGACUCAUAAUUCCAAAUUGCUGCCACAUUAUAUAUUUCAUUCUUUCUGAAGCAAACUCUGUUAGCUUUGGGCAGUAUAUCAUCUCAUUAAUCUACCAUCUUAUUAUACAUGUAUGUGAUGAUCAUAUAAACCAAAUGUCUAAGAAAAUUGAGCACUUUCAUUGAAGUUAUUGGCUUCCCCGCUGAGCUCUUGUCUUAUGCCGCUGCCUUGGUUCCCAAUGGAUAUAUCACCAGUAAAUGAGAUGUGGAAUGUCUUGUACACUAUAUGGCUUGUUGUAAGUUUCAAUUACCAACUCCUUUGUGGUUAAUUUUCAAAUGGAAUGUAGUGUAUCGGGCAUUAUUAUAUGCUCCUAGAGCAAACUACUUAAGUAUUGUUUUCUGCCCAUAGACAUAGGAAUUAUAAUACACAAUUGAUUACUUGACUCAGGUUCUUCUUAUUGAUGACUCUUGCUUACUAUUGAUACCAAAAAAAUUGAAUCCAUGAUCUGGCAUGUACAUAAUAAAAACAUCAUUUUCGAUUCAA